rnacentral:rRNA from 1 species
CCCUUAGAUGUUCUGGGCCGCACGCGCGCUACACUGAACAGUUCAACGAGUCUUAACCUUGGCCGAUAGGUCUGGGUAAUCUUUGAACGCUGUUCGUGAUUGGGAUAGACCUUUGCAAUUAUGGGUCUUCAACGAGGAAUUCCUAGUAAACGCAAGUCAUCAGCUUGCAUUGAUUACGUCCCUGCCCUUUGUACACACCGCCCGUCGCACCUACCGAUUGAAUGGUCCGGUGAAUAAUUCGGACUGCAGCUUUGAACAGUCCCUGUUCUCGGCUUGCGGAAAGUUUAGUGAACCUUAUCACUUAGAGGAAGGAGAAGUCGUAACA